rnacentral:lncRNA from 1 species
UGGAUCCAACACUGGGAAUUCCCAGAGAGCUGAAGGGAUCCAACACUGGAUCCAACCCUUGGUGGCCCCAAGCAGGGCCUGGCCCAGCCCAGCUCCCCUGGUUGGGAUCCUGCCUAAAACCCCCAAAUUCCCGGAUUUCCUUCCUCUUCCCAAGCCUGGACUCCCAAACAUUCCAGAGGAGCCAACUCCAGCAUUCCCACUCCCUGGAUUCACCCCCAGGUGCCUCCCACUGACCCCUCUGUGUCCCAAACUGGGGGUGAUCCCAACAUGGAUUUUGGGUGUCCUGUGGGAUCGAUUCCCUGUGUGCAGGAUGGAUCCCAGCAACAUUCCCAGAAUUCCCAGUAUUCCCAGCCCUCUCUCCCUGCUCUCACACCUUCCAGAUUCCCCAGGGUUGGAUUUUGGAAGGACUGGGACAUUUGGGGUCUUUGGGGUCGCAAAUGGGGCUGGAGGCUGCGGGCAGGGAUUUGGGAUUUGAGAUAAAAAGGAUUUGGAAUCCCAGAGCAAUGUAGGGAUUUGGGAUCCUGGAGCAAUCCAGGGAUUUGGGAUUUGAGAUUAAAAGGAUUUGGGAUCCCAGCCCCCCCCCCCCCCCCCCCCCCCCCCCCCCCCCCCCCCCCCCCCCCCCCCCCCCCCCCCCCCCCCCCCCCCCCC